rnacentral:rRNA from 1 species
CAUAGCGACUAUCGUGGCAUAUCAAUAAGCGGAGGAAAAGAAACUAACUAGGAUUCCCUCAGUAACGGCGAGUGAAGCGGGAAGAGCUCAAAUUUGAAAUCUUCAAGGUUCUACCUUGACGAAUUGUAGUUUAAAGAAGUGUUUUCUGUUGGAGUUUUGGUAAAAGUUCUUUGGAAUAGGACAUCAUAGAGGGUGAGAAUCCCGUAUUUGACCAUUAUUUCCAGCUGUGUGAUACACUUUCAAAGAGUCGGAUUGUUUGGGAAUGCAGUCCAAAAUGGGUGGUAAAUUUCAUCUAAAGCUAAAUACUGGCGAGAGACCGAUAGCGAACAAGUACCGUGAGGGAAAGAUGAAAAGAACUUUGAAAAGAGAGUUAAACAGUACGUGAAAUUGUCAAAAGGGAAGCGUUUGACACCAGUGUUGUUUUCUCGAAAAUCAAUUAAAAAUGCUGGGAUUUUGUGUUGUAUUGACUUUAUCAGCUUUCUGCACUUUUUUCCUUAUCUUUUUUAAUGCACUUUUCGUUUAACAAGUCAACAUCAGUUUCUUUUGUUGUAAAAGAGUCAUUGGAAGGUGGCUUUCUUUUCGGAGAAAGUGUUUAUAGCCUUUGAUCUUCUGCAAUCGGAGAGAUUGAGGUCUGCAGCGUAGACUCCUUCGGGGUUAGAUACAUUUGUGCUAAGCUAUAGCCUUUUCAUAGACAACUUGUUGACUAUGAUCAGUCAUGUAGCUUACUCGCUGAUGCUAUUUUACCUACGCUUAGGAUGUUGACGAGACUGUCGAUCUC